GACGAACGCUGGCGGCGUGCUUAACACAUGCAAGUCGAACGGAAAGGCCCCCAUCUUGGUGGGGGUGCUCGAGUGGCGAACGGGUGAGUAACACGUGGGUGAUCUGCCCUGUACUUCGGGAUAAGCUUGGGAAACUGGGUCUAAUACCGGAUAGGACCAUGGUUUAGUGUCUCAUGGUGGAAAGAUUAUUGUUUUGGUGCAGGAUGAGCUCGCGGCCUAUCAGCUUGUUGGUGGGGUAAUGGCCUACCAAGGCGUCGACGGGUAGCCGGCCUGAGAGGGUGGACGGCCACAUUGGGACUGAGAUACGGCCCAGACUCCUACGGGAGGCAGCAGUGGGGAAUAUUGCACAAUGGGCGCAAGCCUGAUGCAGCGACGCCGCGUGGGGGAUGACGGCCUUCGGGUUGUAAACUCCUUUCGUUAGGGACGAAGCCACGCUUGUUGGGUGUGGUGACGGUACCUUUGUUAAGAAGCACCGGCUAACUACGUG
rnacentral:rRNA from 1 species